rnacentral:rRNA from 1 species
UACGGAGGGUGCAAGCGUUGCUCGGAUUUAUUGGGCGUAAAGGGUAGGUAGGUGGUCUCAUUUGUCUGGGGUGAAAGCCUUGAGCUUAACUCAAGAAGUGCCCCAGAAACGGUGAGACUGGAGUCCUAGAGAGGGUCGUGGAAUUCCCGGUGUAGCGGUGAAAUGCGUAGAGAUCGGGAGGAACACCAGAGGCGAAGGCGGCGACCUGGAUAGGUACUGACACUCAACUACGAAAGCGUGGGGAGCAAACAGG